UACGGAGGAUGCGAGCGUUAUCCGGAUUUAUUGGGUUUAAAGGGUGCGCAGGCGGCGAGUUAAGUCAGCGGUAAAAUUUCGGGGCUCAACCCCGACAAGCCGUUGAAACUGGCUUGCUAGAGUGGGCGAGAAGUAUGCGGAAUGCGUGGUGUAGCGGUGAAAUGCAUAGAUAUCACGCAGAACUCCGAUUGCGAAGGCAGCAUACCGGCGCCCAACUGACGCUCAGGCACGAAAGCGUGGGUAUCGAACAGG
rnacentral:rRNA from 1 species